GUGCUAGCUUCGGCUGCACAUAUACUAAAAUUGGGACGAUACAGAGAAGACAUAGCUUGGCUCCUGCGCAAGGAUGACUCGCUAAUCGUGAAGCGUUCCACAUUUUU
rnacentral:snRNA from 1 species